GACGAACGCUGGCGGCGUGCUUAACACAUGCAAGUCGAACGGUAAGGCUCCAGCUUGCUGGGGUACACGAGUGGCGAACGGGUGAGUAACACGUGGGUGACCUGCCCUGCACUUCGGGAUAAGCCUGGGAAACUGGGUCUAAUACCGGAUAGGACCAUGGUGUGGAUACUGUGGUGGAAAGUUUUUUCGGUGUGGGAUGGGCCCGCGGCCUAUCAGCUUGUUGGUGGGGUAAUGGCCUACCAAGGCGGCGACGGGUAGCCGGCCUGAGAGGGUGGACGGCCACAUGGGGACUGAGACACGGACCAGACUCCUACGGGAGGCAGCAGUGGGGAAUAUUGCACAAUGGGCGGAAGCCUGAUGCAGCGACGCCGCGUGGGGGAUGACGGCCUUCGGGUUGUAAACUCCUUUCACCAUCGACGAAGGGUUUCUGACGGUAGAUGGAGAAGAAGCACCGGCUAACUACGUG
rnacentral:rRNA from 1 species